CCCCAGGUCAGGCGGGAUUACCCGCUG
rnacentral:rRNA from 1 species